CCCAUUUGAUUCUGCAAAAGGGUACUUGCGAGCCCUCUGAAAUUGUAUUAUAGGAGUAAUUAAAAGGCACUGUCCUUUUCUUGUUCAUUUUUCUAUUCCUAAUAAAUAUUUUUUGUUUUGAUUCAUUUUGUAUAAUCCUUUAUUUUAUGUUGUGAUUCAGCUAUUUAAUUAUUCAUAUAGGAAAGUUUUGAUAUUUAUUUCAGGAAUAUAUAUAUUGAUUGAUGAGAAGCAAAAAUGGUGGUUUCUUGAAUUUUUAUCAAGAAAAGUUGUUCCCUUUAGAGGUUAAAGAUUCAAUCUUUUUCGCUGUUGAGGUGAUUUGGGGUUUCCUUAUUUGGCUUUCUUUCCAAUUGGGUGUUUUGAAUUUUCUACGGGGGAUUUUUUGAAUUGAUUUUAUUACCAUAUCAAGAAUUGGAUUCUGUGAAGUGGGUAUUUUAUUCAGAGGGAAGUUCAAAGGAAUUCUAUUUAAUGCCAGUUGAUUGGAAGCUAUUGGCAGCCAGCCAUUUUCGAUAUCUAUUGAUUUGGAGAAUGCUGAUAAAUGAAUCAUGAGUAGUAAGGCUAAGGC
rnacentral:lncRNA from 1 species